GGACUACUGGGGUAUCUAAUCCUGUUUGCUACCCACGCUUUCGCGCCUCAGCGUCAGGUGUCGACCAGUAUGCUGCCUUCGCCAUGGGUGUUCCUCCCGAUAUCAACGCAUUUCACCGCUACACCGGGAAUUCCACAUACCUCUUCGAACCUCCAGUCUGCCAGUAUGCAGAGCAGUUUCCGGGUUGAGCCCUGGAGAUUUCACUCUACACUUAACAGACCGCCUACGCGCUCUUUACGCCCAGUAAAUCCGGACAACGCUUGCACCCUACGUCUUACCGCGGCGGCUGGCAC
rnacentral:rRNA from 1 species